GCCCCUAUGGCGUAGUGGUAGCGCGUGUCACUUGUACUAUACUACGAGGUCAUGACAAGGUCUCUCGUUCGAUCCGGGAUGGGGGCA
rnacentral:tRNA from 1 species